GCUGGGAUUACAGGCGUGAGCCACUGCGCCCAGCUCUUCCUUUCUUUGAAAUGGCUGGUGCAGUGGCUCACGCCUGUAAUCCCAGC
rnacentral:pre_miRNA from 16 species